CCUACGGGAGGCAGCAGUGAGGAAUAUUGGUCAAUGGACGAGAGUCUGAACCAGCCAAGUAGCGUGAAGGAUGACUGCCCUAUGGGGUGUAAACUUCUGUUAUAAAGGAAUAAAACGAGGCACGUGUGCCUUUUUGCAUGUACUUUAUGAAUAAGGAUCGGCUAACUCCGUGCCAGCAGCCGCGAUAAUACGGAGGAUCCGAGCUUUAUCCGGAUUUAUUGGGUUUAAAGGGAGCGUAGAUGGGUUGUUAAGUCAGUUGUGAAAGUUUGCGGCUCAACCGUAAAAUUGCAAUUGAUACUGGCAGUCUUGAGUACAGUUGAGGUAGGCGGAAUUCGUUGUGUAUCGGUUAAAUGCUUAGAUAUCACGAAGAACCCCGAUUGCGAAGGCAGCUUACUAAACUGUGACUGACAUUGAUGCUCGAAAGUGUGGGUAUCAAACAGGAUUAGAUACCCUAGUAGUC
rnacentral:rRNA from 1 species